AAUGAAUCACGCUGACUCACUCAUAUAAUCGCAAGAAUACGGCUUGCGAGUCUCUACCAGCCGACCGUAAAUCGGCUGACUAUGAGUGGCAAUGUCAGGA
rnacentral:ncRNA from 16 species